GCACUGCUAGCUCAGUUGGUAGAGCAACUGACUCUUAAUCAGUGGGUCCAGGGUUCGAAUCCCUGGCGGUGUACAA
rnacentral:tRNA from 1 species